rnacentral:rRNA from 1 species
CCCUGGUGGCGAGUGGCGAACGGGUGAGUAAUACAUCGGAACGUGCCCAGUCGUGGGGGAUAACUACGCGAAAGCGUAGCUAAUACCGCAUACGAACUCUGGUUGAAAGCGGGGGAUCGCAAGACCUCGCGCGAUUGGAGCGGCCGAUGGCAGAUUAGGUAGUUGGUGGGGUAAAGGCCUACCAAGCCUGCGAUCUGUAGCUGGUCUGAGAGGACGACCAGCCACACUGGGACUGAGACACGGCCCAGACUCCUACGGGAGGCAGCAGUGGGGAAUUUUGGACAAUGGGCGCAAGCCUGAUCCAGCCAUUCCGCGUGCAGGAUGAAGGCCCUCGGGUUGUAAACUGCUUUUGUACGGAACGAAAAGGUCUCUUCUAAUACAGGGGGCUCAUGACGGUACCGUAAGAAUAAGCACCGGCUAACUACGUGCCAGCAGCCGCGGUGAUACGUAGGGUGCAAGCGUUAAUCGGAAUUACUGGGCGUAAAGCGUGCGCAGGCGGUGAUGUAAGACAGAUGUGAAAUCCCCGGGCUCAACCUGGGAACUGCAUUUGUGACUGCAUCGCUGGAGUGCGGCAGAGGGGGAUGGAAUUCCGCGUGUAGCAGUGAAAUGCGUAGAUAUGCGGAGGAACACCGAUGGCGAAGGCAAUCCCCUGGGCCUGCACUGACGCUCAUGCACGAAAGCGUGGGGAGCAAACAGGAUUAGAUAUCCUGGUAGUCCACGCCCUAAACGAUGUCAACUGGUUGUUGGGUCUUCACUGACUCAGUA